rnacentral:rRNA from 1 species
GCCAGCAGCCGCGGUAACACCGGCGGCCCGAGUGGUGAUCGUGAUUAUUGGGUCUAAAGGGUCCGUAGCCGGUUUGGUCAGUCCUCCGGGAAAUCUGAUAGCUCAACUAUUAGGUCUUCGGGGGAUACUGCCAGACUUGGAACCGGGAGAGGUAAGAGGUACUACAGGGGUAGGAGUGAAAUCUUGUAAUCCCUGUGGGACCACCUGUGGCGAAGGCGUCUUACCAGAACGGGUUCGACGGUGAGGGACGAAAGCUGGGGGCACGAACCGGAUUAGAUACCCGGGUAGUCCCAGCCGUAAACGAUGCUCGCUAGGUGUCAGGCAUGGCGCGACCGUGUCUGGUGCCGCAGGGAAGCCGUGAAGCGAGCCACCUGGGAAGUACGGCCGCAAGGCUGAAACUUAAAGGAAUUGGCGGGGGAGCACAACAACGGGUGGAGCCUGCGGUUUAAUUGGACUCAACGCCGGACAACUCACCGGGGGCGACAGCAAUAUGUAGGCCAAGCUGAAGACUUUGCCUGAAUCGCUGAGGAGUGGUGCAUGG